rnacentral:rRNA from 1 species
GAUGAACGCUGGCGGCGUGCCUAAUACAUGCCAGUCGAGCGAACGGACGAGAAGCUUGCUUCUCUGAUGUUAGCGGCGGACGGGUGAGUAACACGUGGAUAACCUACCUAUAAGACUGGGAUAACUUCGGGAAACCGUAGCUAAUACCGGAUAAUAUUUUGAACCGCAUGGUUCAAAAGUGAAAGACGGUCUUGCUGUCACUUAUAGAUGGAUCCGCGCUGCAUUAGCUAGUUGGUAAGGUAACGGCUUACCAAGGCAACGAUGCAUAGCCGACCUGAGAGGGUGAUCGGCCACACUGGAACUGAGACACGGUCCAGACUCCUACGGGAGGCAGCAGUAGGGAAUCUUCCGCAAUGGGCGAAAGCCUGACGGAGCAACGCCGCGUGAGUGAUGAAGGUCUUCGGAUCGUAAAACUCUGUUAUUAGGGAAGAACAUAUGUGUAAGUAGCUGUGCACAUCUUGACGGUACCUAAUCAGAAAGCCACGGCUAACUACGUG